AAAACGGCCCUUUUUAGGGCCACCAAAUAGUAAAAGAUCGUAAGCA
rfam:Tropilaelaps mercedesae isolate Wuxi-XJTLT scaffold0000027076, whole genome shotgun sequence.